rnacentral:rRNA from 1 species
GUGCCAGCAGCCGCCGCGGUAAUACGGAGGGUGCGAGCGUUAAUCGGAAUUACUGGGCGUAAAGCGUGCGUAGGCGGCUGUUUAAGUCGGAUGUGAAAUCCCCGGGCUCAACCUGGGAACUGCGUUUAUGACUGGCAGGCUAGAGUAUGGCGGAGGGGGGUGGAAUUCCACGUGUAGCAGUGAAAUGCGUAGAGAUGUGGAGGAACACCGAUGGCGAAGGCAGCCCCCUGGGCCAAUACUGACGCUCAGGCACGAAAGCGUGGGUAGCAAACAGGAUUAGAUACCCUGGUAGUCCACGCCC